rnacentral:rRNA from 1 species
GAUGAACGCUGGCGGCGUGCCUAAUACAUGCAAGUCGAGCGAACGGACGAGACGCUUGCUUCUCUGAUGUUAGCGGCGGACGGGUGAGUAACACGUGGAUACCCUCCCUAUCAGACUGGUAUCACUUCGGGACACCGGAGCUAAUACCGGAUAAUAUUUUGAUCCACAUGGUUCAAUAGUGAAAUACGGUCUUGCUGUCACUUAUAGAUGGAUCCGCGCUGCAUUAGCUAGUUGGUACGGUCACGGCUUACCAAGGCAACGAUGCAUAGCCGACCGGAGAGGGUGAUCGGCCACACGGGAACUGAGACACGGACCAGACGCCUACGGGAGGCAGCAGUAGGGAAUCUGCCGCAAUGGGCGAAAGCCUGACGGAGCAACGCCGCGUGAGUGAUGAAGGUCUUCGGAUCGUAAAACUCUGUUAUUAGGGAAGAACAGAUGUGGAAGUAACUGUGCACAGCGUGACGGUACCUAAUCAGAAAGCAACGGCUAACUACGUG